GACGAACCGUGCGAACGUUGUUCGGAUUCACUGGGCUUAAAGGGCGCGUAGGCGGGCGGUCAAGUCAGGGGUGAAAUCUUUCGGCCUAACCGGAAAAGGGCCUCUGAUACUGGCCGUCUCGAGGGAGGUAGGGGCAUGCGGAACUUCCGGUGGAGCGGUGAAAUGCGUAGAUAUCGGAAGGAACGCCGGUGGCGAAAGCGGCGUGCUGGACCUCUUCUGACGCUGAGGCGCGAAAGCCAGGGGAGCGAACAGG
rnacentral:rRNA from 1 species